UCCCUGGCCCAGCUCUGCAAGCCACCCACAGUUCUUUCUCAUGACGAGGACGUCCCCACACUCAUCCUCAGAUGGCAGGAAGAUCUCUGACGCUGAGCACAGUGCCAAACCUAUAUAGAAACUCAUUUGGGAUAUGGAGGAGAAUAUGCCACCAGUUCUCCAAAGUGGAGGGCGGAUGCAGACAUGGUGCAUGCAUCCAGGGAUUGCCCAUAGCCACAAGCCAACACAAGGACCUGUUCAAUUGGAGGGUGAAGAGUUCUUCCCAGCAGGAAACCUCUCAACUCUGGCUGGCUGACCUGCUGCCCUAGCCUCCCCCCUCCUCUCGCAGCUGUUGGGCCAAAAGACACAAAGAACGAGCCCAGUCCUCCUCGUCCCCACUCCUUGUGACCAGGGGAUAUGGACCUAAUGAAUCAUCAUUUUCAGUAUGGCUACCCUGCCUUUUUCCUCCACCCUUUCCCCCCAUUCUCCCUCAGACCUGGCUAAUUAAAAGGAAGGGAAACAGAAUGCAUAAUGUGGGUAACUAUACUGUAAUAACAGUUAACACAAAGUGUUUCCAUUUGCCAAGCACUGUUCUAAGUACUUUUUAUGUAAUCACUCUUUUAAUCACAACACAGUAUGAGGCGAGCACUAUGGAAAACUGAGGCACAGAGACAUUAAGUGACUUGUCCAGGAUCACAGAGCUAGUAGGAGACAGGGCUGGGAUCUGAACCCAGCUUCAGUCCUCCUAACUAGUAUCCUACUCUCCCUUUGACCAGUACAGCCUUUCGAGGGGUAGACAUCAUUUCCCCAGAGCCCACUGGGAAGGUCUGAGGAAUGUGGGGUAAGAAGGUUAUGGAACACACCUGUGACCUCAUGCACACACACAGUCAGGGCUCAAAUAUCCUUCCAGACCCAGGAGCAAAUGUGAAUCGCAUGUCCAUUAACUAAGAGGGUUAGGGACCCAUGGGGGAUAGGAAUGAGAGUAGGGAAACAAGGUGGGGUAGGGGAAGGGGGCACUAAGGAACUGGCUGGACUUCUCUGUCCCUUGAACUGAGAUGAAACAGGCAGAUAGGAGACAACCCUUAGCUAUGUCCUGGGUUCUUCAUAAGAAGGAGGUUGAGGAGGUGUCAUCCCCUAAUAGGCACCCUAUCUCUGGUCCCAACCUCAGCCCCUUACCAAAGGUCACUCUGCUUCUGUC
rnacentral:lncRNA from 1 species